rnacentral:rRNA from 1 species
UUCUGGUUGAUCCUGCCGGACCUGACUGCUAUCGGAUUGGUACUAAGCCAUGCGAGUCGUUGUAGCAAUACAAGGCGAACUGCUCAGUAACACGUAGUUAACCUAACCUAUGGAUGGGGAUAACCUCGGGAAACUGAGAAUAAUACCCAAUGGGCCACAGUGCCUGGAAUGGCCUGUGGUUGAAAUGAUUUAUCGCCGUAGGAUAGGACUGCGGCCUAUCAGCUUGUUGGUGAGGUAAUGGCCCACCAAGGCUAUAACAGGUACGGGCUCUGAGAGGAGGGGCCCGGAGAUGGGUACUGAGACACGGACCCAGGCCCUAUGGGGCGCAGCAGGCGAGAAACCUUUGCAAUGUGCGAAAGCACGACAAGGUUAAUCCGAGUGUCUCCUGCUAAAGGAGUCUUUUGUCAGUUGUAGAAUCACUGGUGAAUAAGGGGUGGGCAAGUUCUGGUGUCAGCCGCCGCGGUAAAACCAGCACCUCGAGUGGUCAGGAGGUUUAUUGGGCCUAAAGCAUCCGUAGCCGGUUGCAUAAGUUUUCGGUUAAAUCUAUGCGCUUAACGUAUAGGCCGCCGAAAAUACUGUGCAGCUAGGGAGUGGGAGAGG